rnacentral:rRNA from 1 species
UACGGUGAAUACGUUCCCGGACCUUGUACACACCGCCCGUCAAGCCAUGGAAGCUGGGUGUACCUAAAGUCGGUAACCGCAAGGAGCCGCCUAGGGUAAACUAGUAACUGGGACU